rnacentral:rRNA from 1 species
UACGAAGGGGGCUAGCGUUGUUCGGAAUCACUGGGCGUAAAGGGCGCGUAGGCGGCUUUGCAAGUGACGGGUGAAAUCCCUCGGCUUAACCGAGGAACUGCCUGUCAGACUGUGAGGCUUGAGACCGGGAGAGGUGAGUGGAAUUCCCAGUGUAGCGGUGAAAUGCGUAGAUAUUGGGAGGAACACCAGUGGCGAAGGCGGCUCACUGGACCGACAUUGACGCUGAUGAGCGAAAGCUAGGGGAGCAAACAGG